rfam:Coniophora puteana RWD-64-598 SS2 unplaced genomic scaffold CONPTscaffold_14, whole genome shotgun sequence.
GGCCGCCUGGCGAAAUGGCAUCGCGUCUGACUACGAUAGUGUGAUCAGGAGAUUGCAGGUUCGACCCCUGCGGUGGUCA